rnacentral:rRNA from 1 species
AGCAGCCGCGGUAAUUCCAGCUCCAAUAGCGUAUAUUAAAGUUGUUGCAGUUAAAAAGCUCGUAGUUGAAUUUCGGGAUCAAUUAGUCGGUCGUGCCUCUGGUACGUACUGGUUUUAUUGGUUCCUCCCUUCUGACGAAACAUGAUGUCAUUAAUUUGGUGUCGUGGAGAAUCAGGACUGUUACCUUGAAAAAUUAGAGUGUUUAUAGCAGGCUAACGCUUGAAUACAUUAGCAUGGAAUAAUGAAAUAGGACGUUCGACCCUAUUUUGUUGGUUUCUAGGAUCGACGUAAUGAUUAAUAGGGAUAGUUGGGGGCAUUAGUAUUCAAUUGUCAGAGGUGAAAUUCUUGGAUUUAUUGAAGACUAACUACUGCGAAAGCAUUUGCCAAGGAUGUUUUCAUUAAUCAAGAACGAAAGUUAGGGGAUCGAAGACGAUCAGAUACCGUCGUAGUCUUAACCAUAAACUAUGCCGACUAGGGAUCGGAUGAUGUUAAUUUUUUAAUGACUCAUUCGGCGCCUUAA